rnacentral:tRNA from 1 species
CGCGGAUUGAGUAGUAGACCACAAUGCCAGUCGGUAUGAGGGCUUUCACCUUCAGGCUCAUAACCUGAAGGUCACAGGUUCAAAUCCUGUCCCCGCAACCA